UACGUAGGUGGCAAGCGUUAUCCGGAUUUAUUGGGCGUAAAGGGAACGCAGGCGGUCUUUUAAGUCUGAUGUGAAAGCCUUCGGCUUAACCGGAGUAGUGCACUGGAAACUGGGAGACUUGAGUGCAGAAGAGGAGAGUGGAACUCCAUGUGUAGCGGUGAAAUGCGUAGAUAUAUGGAAGAACACCAGUGGCGAAAGCGGCUCUCUGGUCUGUAACUGACGCUGAGGUUCGGAAGCGUGGGUAGCAAACAGG
rnacentral:rRNA from 1 species